rnacentral:lncRNA from 1 species
CCUCUCCCAACACGGCGGCCUCAGCAAAAAAGAAGAAGAAGAAGGGGAAGACUAUCUCCCUAACAGACUUUCUGGCUGAGGAUGGGGGUACUGGUGGAGGAAGGACCUAUGUUUCCAAACCAGUCAGCUGAGCUGAUGAAACGGAUGACCUGGAAGGAGAUGUUUCGACAACUUGGCACAGUAACGAUGACGAUGUGUAUAGGGCGUCUCCAAUUGACCGUUCCAUCCUUCCCACUGCUCCACGGGCUGCUCGGGAACCCAAUAUCGACCGGAGCCAUCUUCCCAAAUCGCCACCCUACACUGCUUUUCUAGGAAACCUACCCUAUGAUGUUACAGAAGAGUCAAUUAAGGAAUUCUUUCGAGGAUUAAAUAUCAGUGCAGUGCGUUUACCAUGUGAACCCAGCAAUCCAGUGAGGUUGAAAGGUUUUGGUUAUGCUGAAUUUGAGGACCUGGAUUCCCUGCUUAGUGCCCUGAGUCUCAAGGAAGAGUCUCUAGGUAACAGGAGAAUUCGAGUGGACGUUGCUGAUCAAGCACAGGAUAAAGACAGGGAUGAUUGUUCUUUUGGCCGUGAUAGAAAUCGGGAUUCUGACAAAACAGGUACAGACUGGAGGGCUCGUCCUGCUACAGACAGCUUUGAUGACUACCCACCUAGAAGAGGUGAUGAUAGCUUUGGAGACAAGUAUCGAGAUCGUUAUGAUUCAGACCGGUAUCGGGAUGGGUAUCGGGAUGGGUAUCGGGAUGGCCAACGCCGGGAUAUGGAUCCAUAUGGUGGCCGGGAUCGCUAUGAUGACCGAGGCAGCAGAGACUAUGAUAGAGGCUAUGAUUCCCGGAUAGGCAGUGGCAGAAGAGCAUUUGGCAGUGGGUAUCGCAGGGAUGAUGUCUCAGAGGAGGCGGGGACCACUAUGAAGACCGAUAUGACAGACGGGAUGAUCGGUCUUGGAGCUCCAGAGAUGAUUACUCUCUGGAUGAUUAUAGGCGUGAUGGUAGAGGUCCCCCCCAAAGACCCAAACUGAAUCUAAACCCUCGGAGUACUCCUAAGGAAGAUGAUUCCUCUGCUAGUACCUCCCAGUCCACUCGAGCUGCUUCUAUCUUUGGAGGGGCAAAGCCCGUUGACACAGCUGCUAGAGAAAGAGAAGUAGAAGAACGGCUACAGAAGGAACAAGAGAAGUUGCAGCAUCAGCUGGAUGAGCCAAAACUAGAACGACGGCCUCCGGAGAGACACCCAAGCUGGCGAAGUGAAGAAACUCAGGAACGGGAACGGUCGAGGACAGGAAGUGAGUCAUCACAGACUGGGACCUCCACCACAUCUGGCAGAAGUAAGUCAGCCCAGGAUGCACGAAGGAGAGAGAAUGAGAAGUCUCUAGAAAAUGAAACACUCAAUAAGGAGGAAGAUUGCCACUCUCCAACUUCUAAACCUCCCAAACCUGAUCAGCCCCUAAAGGUAAUGCCAGCCCCUCCACCAAAGGAGAAUGCUUGGGUGAAGCGAAGUUCUAACCCUCCUGCUCGAUCUCAGAGCUCAGACACAGAGCAGCAAUCCCCUACAAGUGGUGAG